ensembl:lncRNA
CCACAAAGUGCUAAAGUCAGUUGUGAAUUUUAUUAAAAAUAAGCACUAUGCCUGGGUUUCAUAAAAUUUAUACAUGAAUAUGUACAGACACAAAUAAAAUAAUAUUAAAAAUAAAAAUCACGCUUGCUUUCACGUGGCAGUGGUCCUGGCACCCCACAUACAUAAUGCUAACUUUUCCUUUAAAGAAAUUGCUUGGCCCAAGGAGACCACAGUUAGAGAUCACCGAACCACUAAUAAAGCUGUAGCCCGUUGCCUGCAACAUUUUCAACUCAGGUCUCAAAAAUAUAUAAAUAAUUUAAUUACAAAACCCAACUUUUUUUUUUUUUUAUCUUUUGGCACAGUGAAGCAUUGGUCAAUAGCAGAGAAAUGACUGAAGAUUCUCUGACACCUCUCUCACACUCAGUCAUGCCUGUAAAUGCCACAUACUUACAUGGAGCGAGGGCCAUUAAACCCGGAACAGUAGUCAUAUCAUUUAUCAUAUGGAAUGUUUCCCUGAUUUUUUUUUAAGGGACAAGUCAAUGGAGGGUGCGACAAAAAUAGGAGUAAGGGGGAGUAAGAAGAUAGGCAAAGUCUUUGUGAAGUGAGGGAGGGACAGGCUUGGUCAAGAACCUAAAGCAAUUAUGGAGAAUUGGUUUGGUCUUCUGUAAAGUCACAAAAGAAAAACGAAAAUAUUCUGAAUUAAAUUAAAACACUCUGUCAAAAAUACUUUAGCUUUAAGGCACGUUUGAUGGAGAUUUUUUUUUAACGUCUUUUUUUGUCUGGCUAGAAAAUGCAAAGCCCUGGCCUGCGUUUCCUGCCUCCCCGACGGCGCCCACCCUUGCCUGGCUCCGCGGCGCUGCUCAGGCCAGGAGCGUCUCCACUGGGUAAGGCAGGUGCGGGCCGGGGCCACAGGACGAGGACGCCUGCAGGGCCGCGGGCAGCCGCAGGGGGCAGUACAGGUGCGAGCCGCCGCCGGCCGCCGGGCCUCGAAAUGGCUUGGUUGGGGCCGAGGCGGAGAGGGGCGCGAGCAGGAGAUUCUGAACACUUGGGAAGAAUCCUGCAGAGAUUCAAGGUGGGCGUGAGAGGAUGGAUAAAACCUAGGUGUUCUUGUGACACUGAAGCUCAGCCCGAAAACCUGCCUAUGGGACAGGAAGAGAGUUAAACUGGAGGUCGCCACUUUGAGAAUGCCGCCUGCUUGAACUUUGCCCAUCAGCUGCCACCUCACUCAACUCUCCUGAACCUUCUGGGACAUAUUAGAAGGGCUAGGAAUCCACAAACAGACAGAAAGUAUGAAAGCAAGGGGCAUUUUUCUGACUCAAGAUGCAUGCAGCAUUUCUGCAGUCCUUGCUUUUGGGAGGGAAGAAGACCUGAUGCUGGGCUCCUUGGAGGCUCACUCACACCUGCCAUUGGUGUAGAUUCUAGAAGACUGAAGUCCUGGGAAACUUCCUUUGGCUCCUCCAGGUCCACUCUCUAGCCUUUUCCACCAGGCCUGGUGCCCUGGAGCAAGUGAUGGACCUGAGGCUGAUUCCUGGUCUCUUCUGGAGGGAUCCUGGGGGGUUGGGCAGUGGGGGAAAGGGGCUGCUUCCUUCAGUGCAGGUCUGGAAGGUACUCUCUGCCUCUUGUUCACUGAACCCGGGAAUGCUUGUGUCCUGCCUCUGGGCCCAUGGGUGGCAGCAACACCCUGUGCUCGAGCCCACAGCCUUCCUUCAGAGAAGGGUCCUCCCCCACUUGCUUUUGUAUGCAUCCUCCUGGUUGUGUUGACCCGCCGAUGAGCCGAUGAGCUGGAUACAGCAAGCACUGCAGAGGCCUCAGGGGUGACAAUGCACAGACCAAGUUUGCAGGACCAGCCCCUUGGAAUGCUGUUGCCAGUUCCAAUGACUCUUGGGGCUUUCAGAUGCCCUGGGUGAGGCCGGCAAGAGCAGGACUUCCAGAGUCUUUGUGGCUGUCGGCGAUCUGGCUGACUGGGGACAGCAGAGAACAAACCGUGGUGGUGCAUGAUUCUGUUUCCUGAGUGGAAUUCGUGCGGGUGGC